GACGGACGGCGGCCAGGGGGAGGGGGAGCGGGAGCAUUCGUGUCCUGAAUGGAGACUCUUCCCUUGCCUGGUUUCACCCAGGGACCCCACGAACAGAGCCAGUUACCGUUUGGCAGUUACCCUGAGAUUGGUGGGGACAAUGGCGGUUUGGUGGACUUUCUGUGGCUGGGAGCUACAAAAGCGGGAAACUUUCCCACGCUGGGACUCACAGGUACAGAGGCUCAUUGGAUGAAGACCCCCUGGCCACCGGAGGUGGGAGACCCUG